UGGGGAAUAUUGCACAAUGGGCGCAAGCCUGAUGCAGCAACGCCGCGUGAGGGACGACGGCCUUCGGGUUGUAAACCUCUUUUAGUAGGGAAGAAGCGAAAGUGACGGUACCUGCAGAAAAAGCACCGGCUAACUACGUGCCAGCAGCCGCGGUAAUACGUAGGGUGCGAGCGUUGUCCGGAAUUAUUGGGCGUAAAGAGCUCGUAGGCGGUCUGUCGCGCCUGCUGUGAAAACCCGAGGCUCAACCUCGGGCCUGCAGUGGGUACGGGCAGACUAGAGUGCGGUAGGGGAGAAUGGAAUUCCUGGUGUAGCGGUGGAAUGCGCAGAUAUCAGGAGGAACACCGAUGGCGAAGGCAGUUCUCUGGGCCGUAACUGACGCUGAGGAGCGAAAGCGUGGGGAGCGAACAGGAUUAGAUACCCUGGUAGUCCACGCCGUAAACGUUGGGCGCUAGAUGUGGGGACCAUUCCACGGUUUCCGUGUCGCAGCUAACGCAUUAAGCGCCCCGCCUGGGGAGUACGGCCGCAAGGCUAAAACUUGAAAUGAAUUGACGGGGUCAUAGCU
rnacentral:rRNA from 1 species